AUGAGAGACCCUCAGAUAUUUCAGUGCUUAAGAAAACUCACCAUUUCCAACUGGACAAGGUGUAAGAAUAUACCUGUAGUAUGGCUCUCACCCUCACUGGAGUUCUUAUACUUGCGUAACAUGGGUAAAGUGAAGACAUUGUGUGAUAACCUUUGCAUAGAAGGUGGAGGACGCAGUACCCCUCUACAAAUUUUCCCAAAGUUGAAGGAGAUGGUCUUGGUAGAGCUAUGUAGUCUAGAGGGAUGGGCAGAAAACAGUGCGGGGGUGGCCAUUGAUAGCUCAGUAAUAUUCCCGGUGCUUGAGAAGCUAGUAAUCGACAGAUGCCCGAAGCUUGCAAGUUUUCCACUGAGCCCUGUUCUCAAAGACCUGAAGUUAGAAGGAUCUUACUUGGGAGUGGAGUGUGUGUGGGAUAUUCCAAGGUUGCCUACAUCCCUUGAAAUUUUGUGGAUUCAAUGCUUCGGAGGUUUGGUGGUGCUGUCUUUGAACCUUGGAGAUCUGGCAAAGCUGAGGGAGCUACUGGUGCAUAAAUGCAGGAGCCUGAAAGGGUUGCCUGAUGGGAUGGAUGGCCUCACUUCUCUUAGGAAAUUGGCAAUCACUCGUUGUCCAGGGAUAGAGGAAUUCCCGAAUGGUCUCCUUCAGCGGUUGUCAGCCCUUGACUCCUUAACCAUAUUUGGCUGCCCCGAGUUGGAAAGACGAUGCAGAGAAGGCGGGGAGUAUUUCCAGCACUUGUCUCCUAUCCCAUGUAAAAGAGGAUUCAGAACUGGAGCUCCAGAAGUAGAAGCAGAAUCCACAAUUAUAGCACCAGAAGCAGAAACCAGCGGAAAGAAGUUUCUAAGAAGGCUCCUACCCUCCUGUGCUCACUCGAAGUCUGGUGAUAACUGA
rnacentral:rRNA from 1 species